AUUAAAACAAAAUCUGGAUUCAAAUUCAUGUGCUUAAAAUGUAAAAAAAAUAUAUCAUCAAAUCAAUCGAGUAGCUAUAACCUGAAGAAACACCUAAAGACUGUUCACGCCAAUUGCUAUAAGGAAAUAGAGAAACAUAUAAAAAAAUUUGGUAUAGGAGAAUCUUCAUUCAAAAAGACAAAUACUAUCCAAACCAAAUUAACGGAUAAUAAACAUGCCAAUAUUUCACAAAAAUUGGCUGAUAAAGUUAUUGUUGAUUUUAUUAUUGACACAGUUCAGCCAGUGUCUUUGGUUGAUAAUCCAUCAUUUACUCUGAUGAUUAAAACUUUAUCCCCUGGCACAACAGUUUAUGUCGCCAGACACUUAUGAAUAAAAUAGCCGACAACUUCAAAGUGAUGAAAGAUGCUCUAAUAGUAGAGUUAUCAGAUAUAUCUUAUGUAUGUACCAUAGCAGAUAGUUGGACACAUAACAGAAGAGCUUAUUUGGGAAUCACAGGCCAUUGGUUAGACCCUAGGACUUUAAAAAGAAGAUCUGUUUUUUGAAAUUAAAGAUGAUUUAAUAGAAAAUCCAAUUGAUAUUUUUUUUCAAUCAAAAAAUAUUGAAAUGAAUAUUUUUGAUAAUUUUUCAUAUAUUAAAAAUUUAUAUAUAAAAUUUAAUACCCCCUUGCCCUCAAGUGCUAGUGUCGAGAGAUUAUUUAGUAAAACAAAGCUUAUACUUUCUGAUCGUCGCUCUAGACUUGGGGAUGAUAAUAUUGAAAUGAUAUUAUUAUUAAA